AAUAUUAGACAACGGGCGAAAGCCUGAUCAAGCCAUGCCGCGUGUGUAUAGAAGGUCUUCGGAUUGUAAAGCACUUUAAGUUGGGAGGAAGGGCAGUGAGUUAAUAUCUUGCUGUUUGGACGUUACCCACAGAAAAAGCACCGGCUAACUUCGUGCCAACAGCCGCGGUAAUACGAAGGGUGCAAGCGUUAAUCGGAAUUACUGGGCGUAAAGCGCGCGUAGGUGGUUCAGUAAGAUGGAAGUGAAAUCCCCGGGCUUAACCUGGGAAUUGCUUUCAAAACUGACGAGCUAGAGUAUGGCAGAGGGUGGUGGAAUUUCCUGUGUAGCGGUGAAAUGCGUAGAUAUAGGAAGGAACACCAGUGGCGAAGGCGACCACCUGGGCUAAUACUGACACUGAGGUGCGAAAGCGUGGGGAGCAAACAGG
rnacentral:rRNA from 1 species